rnacentral:tRNA from 1 species
GGGAACGAAUGGGUCCUGGUGGACUCCGGGGACUUCAAAUCCUGCGGUCGGGCGCUUCGCGCGUCCGAGGUGGGUUCGAUUCCCACGCGUUCCCGCCA